GAAAGGAGGGAGAGGAGGAAUGGGGGGAGAGGAGGAAGAGAGGGAGAGGAGAAGAGAGGGAGAGGAAAGGAGGGAGAGGAGGAAGAGAGGGAGAGGAGGGAGAGAGGGAGAGGAGGAAGAGAGGGAGAGGAGGAAAGGAGGGAGAGGAGGAAGAGAGGGAGAGGAGGAAGAGAGGGAGAGGAGGAAAGGAGGUAGAAGAGGAAAGGAGGUAGAGGAGGAAGAGAGGGAGAGGAGGAAGAGAGGGAGAGGAGGAAGGGAGGGAGAGGAGGAAAGGAGGGAGAGGAGGAAGAGAGGGAGAGGAGGAAAGGAGGGAGAGGAGGAAAGGAGGUAGAGGAGGAAGAGAGGGAGAGGAAAGGAGGGAGAGGAGGAAAGGAGGGAGAGGAGGCAGAGAGGGAGAGGAGGAAAGGAAGGAGAGGAGGAAGAGAGGGAGAGGAGGAAGGGAGGGAGAGGAGGAAAGGAGGGAGAGGAGGAAGAGCGGGAGAGGAGGUAAGGAGGGAGAGGAGGAAGAGAGGGAUAGGAGGAAAGGAGGGAGAGGAUGGAGAGAGGGAGAGGAGGAAAGGAGGGAGAGGAGGGAGAGAGGGAGAGGAGGAUAGGAGGUAGAGGAGGAAAGGAGAUAGAGGAGGAAGAGAGGGAGAGGAAAGCAGGGAGAGGUGGAAGCGAGGGAGAGGAGGAAGGGAAGGAGAGGAGGAAAGAGAGGGAGAGGAGGAAAGGAAGGAGAGGAGGGAGAGAGGGAGAGGAGGAAAGGAGGGAGAGGAACACAUACAAGAGAACCAAACUGAAAUACCAAAUCCUUUGAGCAGAAAGCAUCGGUCUCUGUGAUGCAUGAUGGGAUAGAGUCCCACUGACGGUUUGAGACAAAGUAAAACACAGACCAGC
ensembl:lncRNA